rnacentral:rRNA from 1 species
AGGUAAGCUACUAAGAGCGAAUGGUGGAUGCCUUGACUGGUAAAGGCGAUGAAGGACGUACUAGACUGCGAUAAGCUACGGGGAGCUGUCAAGAAGCUUUGAUCCGUAGAUUUCCGAAUGGGGCAACCCAAUGUAUAGAGAUAUACAUUACCUAUAUAGGAGCGAACGAGGGGAAUUGAAACAUCUUAGUACCCUCAGGAAAAGAAAUCAAUAGAGAUUGCGUCAGUAGCGGCGAGCGAAAGCGCAAGAGGGCAAACCCAGUGCUUGCACUGGGGGUUGUAGGACUGCAAUGUGCAAGAGGUGAGUUUAGCAGAACAUUCUGGAAAGUAUAGCCAUAGAGGGUGAUAGUCCCGUAUGCGAAAAACAAACCUUAGCUAGCAGUAUCCUGAGUAGGGCGGGACACGAGAAAUCCUGUCUGAAGCUGGGUCGACCACGAUCCAACCCUAAAUACUAAUACCAGAUCGAUAGUGCACAAGUACCGUGAGGGAAAGGUGAAAAGAACUGAGGUGAUCAGAGUGAAAUAGAACCUGAAACCAUUUGCUUACAAUCAUUCAGAGCCCUAUGUAGCAAUACAGGGUGAUGGACUGCCUUUUGCAUAAUGAGCCUGCGAGUUGUGGUGUCUGGCAAGGUUAAGCAAACGCGAAGCCGUAGCGAAAGCGAGUCUGAAUAGGGCGCUUAGUCAGAUGCUGCAGACCCGAAACGAAGUGAUCUAUCCAUGAGCAAGUUGAAGCUAGUGUAAGAACUAGUGGAGGACUGAACCCAUAGGCGUUGAAAAGCCCCGGGAUGACUUGUGGAUAGGGGUGAAAGGCCAAUCAAACUUCGUGAUAGCUGGUUCUCUCCGAAAUAUAUUUAGGUAUAGCGUUGUGUCGUAAUAUAAGGGGGUAGAGCACUGAAUGGGCUAGGGCAUACACCAAUGUACCAAACCCUAUCAAACUCCGAAUACCUUAUAUGUAAUCACAGCAGUCAGGCGGCGAGUGAUAAAAUCCGUCGUCAAGAGGGAAACAACCCAGACUACCAGCUAAGGUCCCUAAAUCUUACUUAAGUGGAAAACGAUGUGAAGUUACUUAAACAACCAGGAGGUUGGCUUAGAAGCAGCCAUCCUUUAAAGAAAGCGUAAUAGCUCACUGGUCUAGUGAUUUUGCGCGGAAAAUAUAACGGGGCUAAAGUAAGUACCGAAGCUGUAGACUUGCGCACAACUUAGAUUAUUUAAGUUUAGAAUAUGAGAAACUAAGUUAUAUGUUUAGUUAUAUUUUUACUGAUUUUUAUAGAGUAAAGAUAGAAAUAAAACUUAGUAAAAUCAGUAAAAAUAUUCUUAGACUAAAGUUAAGUAGUUUAAGUUGUGUGCAAGUGGUAGGAGAGCGUUCUAUUUGCGCCGAAGGUAUACCGGUAAGGAGUGCUGGAGCGAAUAGAAGUGAGCAUGCAGGCAUGAGUAGCGAUAAUUAAUGUGAGAAUCAUUAACGCCGUAAACCCAAGGUUUCCUACGCGAUGCUCGUCAUCGUAGGGUUAGUCGGGUCCUAAGUCGAGUCCGAAAGGGGUAGACGAUGGCAAAUUGGUUAAUAUUCCAAUACCAACAUUAGUGUGCGAUGGAAGGACGCUUAGGGCUAAGGGGGCUAGCGGAUGGAAGUGCUAGUCUAAGGUCGUAGGAGGUUAUACAGGCAAAUCCGUAUAACAAUACUCCGAGAACUGAAAGGCUUUUUGAAGUCUUCGGAUG